AUAAGAAGCAUGCCUUUCUGAUCACACAUGUCCGUUCGAACUUCCUAAUACCAAGCGAGCGGAAGUUUUAUUGAAAUAAAAUGACUUUUAAGUAUUGCUUAUUAUUGUAGAUUCAAUUAAUUCUUGUUUAAACGAGGAAUUAUUUUGUUCUUUAAUAAAUGAAAUAAAGGAAUAUUGGGUCUCAUGCAUAAAAACGAGUAAAAGCGCUGAGUUGAGUCAAGUGAGCAAUUGCUCGUAAGUCGAGUUCGAACAAACAGCAACAGCUCUUGCUCAAUUUCGUAUGCAUAAAAAUGAGUUCAAACCAAUUACAAUUACUUGAGCAAACGGAGAUCAAACCUCUAAGUGCAAACAUGUCGUCAAGUGGAAGUGAGUUUGAAGUAGAGCUAAAAAAUAAUAAUAAAAUGGAAAUGGACGAUAUUUCAAAAUUUUUAGUAGAAAAAAUAAAAGAAAAAAAAUAUUUGCUCGAAAAAAGUCAGUUACCAAGUGUAAAAAGUAAACAAGCAAUAAAAAUAUGUGUGAAGGAAAUUUGGCAAAAAUUUGGAAUUGAACUGUUGGAGAAAAACAUUAUAAAAAAAAUAGCAAACAUGAAAUGUCGAGUUAAAAGUAAAAUAGACAUAAAUAAAACAGGCAAUAAGAAGAUUAUUUUAAAAAACUGGGAAGCAGAAUUAUCUUCAUUGCUUUGUUCUGAUUGUAAUCCCUCGACAAAAAAACUUCCUGUUCUCUUUUUCUUGGAAGCAAUGGCGAUACAUUAGAAGAGACAUCAACAACAACAACAUCAGAAACAAAAACAACAGUAACAUCAGCAGCAAAACAGCAAAUAAAGCGCCGUUGCACUGAUAGCGACGACCAAACUGUUAACAAAAAGUCAACAGCAGUUUUGAGUCGUUAUGAGACUGAUGAGACAAGGCAGCUAAAUUUUCAAAGUCUGCAGAGGCUUGUUUUGUUAAAGCAAAACAAAGUUCUUUCCGCAAAAUUAGAGAUUUUGCAGGAAAAACUUGGGGAAAGAGGGUUGGAGUUCCCUGAAUAAUUACAUUUAUUAAUAAAUAAUUAAUUAUUAUUAUAUUUUUGUGCAUU